UUGCAGCCUUCUGUUAACCUGUUGCUCAGGUACUGCUUGUGAUUGUGCCAGUAUUUCUUGCUGAGAAUGGAGAGCGCAGCACAGAAGAACCAAGAGUUUCCCGUUUUCCUGCUGUCUGUCCGAAUAAUAAAAGCCACUAAUAUCAUUUCUAGAGAUUCAUUGUCUGCAUCUGAUUGCUAUGUGACCUUGAGUCUGCCAACAGCAUCAAAAGAACAAUUCAGAACCCAAACCAUCAAAAACUCUGACACUCCAGUCUGGAA